rnacentral:rRNA from 1 species
CAAUAGCGUAUAUUAAAGUUGUUGCAGUUAAAAAGCUCGUAGUUGGAUUUCUGGUGGGAGCGAUCGGUCUGGCGCUUAGCGCGAGUACUUGCAUCGUCUCCGGCCAUCCUUGGGGAGAGUCUGUCUGGCAUUAGGUUGUCGGGCAGAGGAUCCUCAUCGUUUACUGUGAAAAAAUUGGAGUGUUCAAAGCAGGCUUAUGCCGUUGAAUAUAUUAGCAUGGAAUAAUAAGAUGGGACUUUGGUACUAUUUUGUUGGUUUGCGCACCAAAGUAAUGAUUAAUAGGGACAGUUGGGGGUAUUCGUAUUCCGUUGUCAGAGGUGAAAUUCUUGGAUUUACGGAAGACGAACUACUGCGAAAGCAUUUACCAAGGAUGUUUUCAUUAA